rnacentral:rRNA from 1 species
UACGUAGGGUGCAAGCGUUGUCCGGAAUUAUUGGGCGUAAAGAGCUCGUAGGCGGUUUGUCGCGUCUGCUGUGAAAUCUCGGGGCUCAACCCCGAGCGGUCGUGGGAAACUGGUUGGCUAGAGUGCGGGAGAGGAGAGUGGAAUUCCUGGUGUAGCGGUGAGAUGCGCAGAUAUCAGGAAGAACACCCGUGGCGAAGGCGGCUCUCUGGAACGCAACUGACGCUGAGACGCGAAAGCGUGGGGAGCAAACAGG